AGGAUAAACGCUGGCGGCGUGCCUAACACAUGCAAGUCGAACGUCUCUUUCUUCGGGAAGAGGAGUGGCGGACGGGUGAGGAACACGUGGGAACCUGCCCUUCAGUGAGGAAUACCGGCGAGAAAUCGCCGACAAGACCGCAUAGCCCUCUCUGGUGAGAGCCAGAGAAGGAAAGCCUCGCAAGAGGCGCUGGAGGAGGGGCCUGCGUCCGAUUAGCUAGUUGGUGGGGUAAGAGCCUACCAAGGCGUCGAUCGGUAGCUGGUCUGAGAGGACGAUCAGCCACACUGGGAUUGAGAACGGCCCAGACUCCUACGGGGGGCAGCAGUGAGGAAUUUUCGGCAAUGGGGGAAACCCUGACCGAGCAACGCCGCGUGCAGGAAGACGGCCUUCGGGUUGUAAACUGCUUUUCUUUGGGUACGAGCAAGGACGGUACCAGAGGAAUCAGCCCGGCUCACUACGCGCCAGCAGCCGC
rnacentral:rRNA from 1 species